rnacentral:rRNA from 1 species
ACAUCCAGAGAACUUAGCAGAGAUGGCUUUUGGGUGCCUUCGGGAACUCUGAGACAGGUGCUGCAUGGCUGUCGUCAGCUCGUGUUGUGAAAUGUUGGGUUAAGUCCCGNAACGAGCGCAACCCUUAUCCUUUGUUGCCAGCGGUUCGGCCGGGAACUCAAAGGAGACUGCCGGUGAUAAACCGGAGGAAGGUGGGGAUGACGUCAAGUCAUCAUGGCCCUUACGGCCAGGGCUACACACGUGCUACAAUGGCGCAUACAAAGAGAAGCGACCUCGCGAGAGCAAGCGGACCUCAUAAAGUGCGUCGUAGUCCGGAUUGGAGUCUGCAACUCGACUCCAUGAAGUCGGAAUCGCUAGUAAUCGUAGAUCAGAAUGCUACGGUGAAUACGUUCCCGGGCCUUGUACACACCGCCCGUCACACCAUGGGAGUGGGUUGCAAAAGAAGUAGGUAGCUUAACCUUCGGGAGGGCGCUUACCACUUUGUGAUUCAUGACUGGGGUGAAGUCGUAACAAGGUAAGCGUAGCGAG